UGGGGGAUAUUGCACAAUGGGCGAAAGCCUGAUGCAGCGACGCCGCGUGGGGGAUGAAGGCCUUCGGGUUGUAAACUUCUUUUGCUCUGAACAAGGCGCACCAUGGGGUGUGUUGAGUGUAGGGGUUGAUUAGCGCCGGCUAACUACGUGCCAGCAGCCGCGGUAAUACGUAGGGCGCGAGCGUUGUCCGGAAUUAUUGGGCGUAAAGGGCUUGUAGGUGGCUGGUUGCGUCUGUCGUGAAAGCUCAUGGCUUAACUGUGGGUUUGCUGUGGGUACGGGCUGGCUUGAGUGCAGUAGGGGAGGCUGGAAUUCCUGGUGUAGCGGUGGAAUGCGCAGAUAUCAGGAGGAAUACCGGUGGCGAAGGCGGGUCUCUGGGCUGUUACUGACACUGAGGAGCGAAAGCAUGGGGAGCGAACAGG
rnacentral:rRNA from 1 species